rnacentral:rRNA from 1 species
UACGGAGGGUGCAAGCGUUGUUCGGAAUCACUGGGCGUAAAGGGCGCGUAGGCGGCUUGGUAAGUCAGAUGUGAAAGCCCACGGCUUAACUGUGGAAGUGCAUUUGAAACUGUCAGGCUUGAGUACCAGAGGGGAAAGUGGAAUUCCCGGUGUAGAGGUGAAAUUCGUAGAUAUCGGGAGGAAUACCGGUGGCGAAGGCGACUUUCUGGCUGGAUACUGACGCUGAGGCGCGAAAGCGUGGGGAGCAAACAGGAUUAGAUACCCUGGUAGUCCACGCUGUAAACGAUGUGAACUAGAUGCAGGGGGUGUUGAUCCCUUCUGUGUCGCAGCUAACGCAUUAAGUUCACCGCCUGGGGAGUACGGUCGCAAGAUUAAA